rnacentral:lncRNA from 1 species
GUGCAACACUCUAUGGGAUUUGUAGUUUUUCUGAAUCUCAGAGCUUAUCGUUCUGAAAGACAGAGGUAAGUGAUGGCUGGCGGGGGUAAAAGUCUCAUACGAUUCAGAUCAGGACAGCCCAAAUAGUGUGGUAAGAUUUGUUACCCAGUGUUUCUCCUCAAUAAUUUCUUGCUGAGUGAACCAAUCCAGAACUACAGCACCCAGAAGGCCUCGCGCUUCCCUUACCCGCCCCCCACCUCCCGCGCCGUCUCCCCCCGCGUCGUCUCAGCUACUUUGAUUCCCAAAGGUUUCUGGGAAGGUCGGGCUGAUACUCAAGGAAGGACUACGAACCCCAGCAAGCAGUUCGCGACACCAGGGCGCAGAAGGAGGAGGAGCUCGAGCCGUGGGGCCCUACGGAACCAGAUCCACCCUUGAGAGGAGGGCCUGGGUCUGGAAGCUGUAGGUGAGCAGAGGGUGAGAGGCCUUGUGUUCUGCGGGCUGCUCCUUCCACAAGCAAUUGCAUGCGUGAGGCCCUGUUCCUGGUGCUGGGAUGCAGGAGGAUGGACAGAAUUCUCGGUCGUGGACAGUUCUCUGCCUUCAUGGAGCCUGUAGUCUAGUGGGGAGGCGGUACACAGGACAGUACACCAGCAGGUGAGGUGAGACGAGCUAUGGAAAACAGUGGGUUGUAAGGGGGCGUGAAAGUGCCUGCAGCUGCCACUUUGGCCACAAUUUUAAGUCCGAUGGUCAGGGCAGGCUCACCAGGAGGGCAAGGGAGUGAGCCACCUGGAUGGUCAUAGUACCAGCAGUUAUAGCCUCUGUUUUUUGAGCACUAAUUAUGUGGUAGACAUCCUAAUAUACUACUGCCUUGGUCAAUCCACAGUAGCAGUGGGAUCCCUAUUUUAUAGUUAAGGACAUAUGCAGGGAGAUGAAAUAACUUUCUAGAGGUCACCUAGCUGAUAAGUGGCAGAGAUGGGAUUCAAACCCACACCUGUGUGAUCCCAGAGGGCCAUCCCACUAGCCUUGCCUGCUGCCCUUUGGCCAUGAGGAGCCACCUUGUCACCUGGUGAAGCUCCAGGGAGCCAGCAGAUGCUGUUGCAAACAUGGACCUGGUCCUUAAGAGUGGGUGGGUGGCACUGCCUGCGUUCCCAGCAAGGGAGUGCGGCUUGAUGGUUCUGUAUCGGACAGGGCCUUGCUUACAUGCUGCCCAGUGCACCAGCC